UUAGUUUUGCUUUUUUUUAGUUGAUCUUGUUCCUUGUCCUCCUUUUUGUCUUCUUCAUUGUCAAUGAGAAAAACAUGGUGUUUUUCAUAAGAGCACCUAUUAGUGUUUAGUGCUAAAUUGUACAGUUACGUGUCAGGAUUUCAUGCAAAAUGUCACCAACACCAUGAAAAGACCUUUCCAGCCCAGACAUAAAUGUUUCUUACUGCAGUUUAUAGUAGCUGUUGUUACAAAAGUGAAGAGGAAGCCAAAGGAGGUUGUGUGUCAGCUUUCCUGGACCCCCAGAAUUUUCUAGACUGAGUGUGACUGAUAAUUUUGCAGACAUUGACAGAUUUAACACACUCAAUUACAAAACAAAGAGAGAACCUUUCAAGAGCUUUUCUGGACUGGGUGCAUGCUCUGUAAGUAAGACUUAAUUCUUUCAUGGAAAAUAAGGAGCACCUCAUCUAGAGAACAGCAUGUGUAGAACAGACAUCAGCUUGGGGAGGUCUGUACUGCAACAGCUCCACUUCUCCUAAUAAAUGCUGGUGACAGAAGCCUAACAGGAAAAUGAGUCUAUAUGACAAAGCAUGCACUUUCCCCCCUCCCAGGGCAGCUUCCUGCACAGCCUGUUUAUACAGCCUACACGACUGUCAGCUUGUGUUUGAAUGCUUACAGUGUGGCAACAGCUGAUGGAUCUAAACUCCCAUGACUCCCUUCUAUUCAAAAGAAACCAAAUUUCCUUUAGCUGCUGGACAUGUGACACCCUUUAAACUUAAACCUGUGAGGGGGAAGUCUAUGAAAAGUAAAUUGAAACCAUUUCUUCAGUAUGGUAAGAUUACAGUUUGCCCCUCCAUUAAAUAAUGUGGUAUAUAAAAUAAUGACGUGGAAACUAACCUCUGAAGUUCUACCACUUGCCAGGUAAAAGACUCUUACCUCUCUGGUACUAAAACUCACUCCAGUAAGAGCUUGUAAACAAAGUGUGUCCCAGUAGACGUGGAUGGUAAGUCCUUCUCCUAAUUCAUGAAUACUAACACACUAGUGAGUACUAACAUUUUACUUCUAUAUUCUGUGAUCUGCAAUCACAGGAAAGAUAGAAAUGUUUCAUUUUCUUCUUACCAUGAUUCCCUUUAAUGUCUAUCCACUUGGUUUUUUCCAGGACCCUUGAUCUCUUCAGGAUUGACUGAUAAGUUUUCCACUCAUCUUCUACCUGCUCAGAUCCCAGUUUAUCUCUCGUCUUAGCAUCUGUCAGAUCACCUGAGAGUGUACAAAGGUGAGAUAUAACUAGAGGCCUACACAGCUUAUACAAAUACUGUAACUAGACAAGCAUGCCAUCCCUGCCUCCAAGUCUAAGUGGCUGCAGGCCUGGGUGCAAUCUGCUUAUUUCUGUAUCUGGUCCACAUGAUCAGCGUAAAUGCCUUCUAAAUGCAGAUGCAGCAACCUCAGCAGACAUCUACUGACCACAUCACUGCAGCACUUUCACUAAUUAGGUAAUAACUUUCUAUAGAAGCAAAACUCCAGGUCUAGCAUUAAGAUUCUAAAACCUUGCACACAGCAACGGCUUAAAGUUUUUUCAAUUAUCUUGUCAAAACUUCAUCUAUUUCAAUGGCAAGCUGUCAUAUGAAGUGGCAAGGCUUAUUUCACCUCUCUUGGUAUGAUAUGUUCAAAUGGAAACCAGCAAUAAAAUCCUACAUUAAUUCACAGGUGAAUUUCAUACAAAUGAACAGGGAUUGUUCUGAGGGGGGAACUGUAUCUUAGUGGCUAACUACAGACAUUGCUCACUUCUGUAAUUUCAAACAUAAAGAAUGUAGAAUCAUGACCAGAGCAAGAGGGAGAGGGUAGCUGAUAGCAAGGGCUAUGAUGCAGCAACACCUACUGGGAAAACAUUAGCUAUCUUGUGUGAUUGUGUCUGCUAUGUAUAGAACACACUAAACUCACUGAAGAAACUGAAUGCUCAAUAAAAUAAUAAUAAUU